rnacentral:rRNA from 1 species
GUGUACAUGCCUACAAGGUUAAUGCACCAUAUUCCAUCAGAACUUCGUAGUUAAGAAUGCUUAGGCUAGAGUAGUAUUGGGAUGGGUGACCUCCCAUGAAUUCCUAGUUUUUUACAUG